rnacentral:rRNA from 1 species
AUUGAACGCUGGCGGCAGGCCUAACACAUGCAAGUCGAGCGAGUGGCGGACGGGUGAGUAAUGUCUGGGAAACUGCCUGAUAGAGGGGGAUAACUACUGGAAACGGUAGCUAAUACCGCAUACUAUCGGAUGUACCCAUAUGGGAUUAGCUCGUAGGUGGGGUAACGGCUCACCUAGGCGACGAUCCCUAGCUGGUCUGAGAGGAUGAACAGCCACACUGGAACUGAGACACGGUCCAGAGUCCUACGGGAGGCAGCAGUGGGGAAUAUUGCACAAUGGGCGCAAGCCUGAUGCAGCCAUGCCGCGUGUAUGAAGAAGGCCUUCGGGUUGUAAAGUACUUUCAGCGGGGAGGCGUUACCCGCAGAAGAAGCACCGGCUAACUCCGUGCCAGCCGCCGCGGUAAUAC